rnacentral:rRNA from 1 species
UACGAAGGAUGCAAGCGUUAUCCGGAAUCAUUGGGUUUAAAGGGUCCGUAGGCGGUUUAAUAAGUCAGUGGUGAAAGCCCAUCGCUCAACGGUGGAACGGCCAUUGAUACUGUUAGACUUGAAUUAUUAGGAAGUAACUAGAAUAUGUAGUGUAGCGGUGAAAUGCUUAGAGAUUACAUGGAAUACCAAUUGCGAAGGCAGGUUACUACUAAUGGAAUUGACG